AUGCCCUUUCCUGCUCUCCUCCAGGUUCCUCACAAUCUCUCACCAGCUCCAGAACAAGACCCGGAUCUCAGCCUGCCUGACACACUGCUUCAUCCCCUGGCCGCCCGCUUUCAGCCGCUCACCUUCCAACAUCCAUUCCUGUUCCUGCACCUCUGGACAAAACUAUAUCCUUCCCUGUGGCUCUCCUCAGCUCACCCGGACCUAGCAACCUUCCUGUACAAAUACCACUACCCAGAAACAGUGGGCGUGUCUGAGAGCUCCCAGCUGCAGCUGAUCUCACCAUCAAGGUCCAGGGGAUUUAAGGAGCAGUGUGACACUUCACCACGCCGGAUGAUUACUCUUUGGGUUCCUCACAAUCUCUCACCAGCUCCAGAACAAGACCCGGAUCUCAGCCUGCCUGACACACUGCUUCAUCCCCUGGCCGCCCGCUUUCAGCCGCUCACCUUCCAACAUCCAUUCCUGUUCCUGCACCUCUGGACAAAACUAUAUCCUUCCCUGUGGCUCUCCUCAGCUCACCCGGACCUAGCAACCUUCCUGUACAAAUACCACUACCCAGAAACAAAUCUCCCCCCUGGAUUCCUGCUGCCAGUCCUGCGUCUCGUCUGCUCCCGUCUCUCACAUCGCUCUUUAUGUAGUAAUUAA
rnacentral:lncRNA from 1 species